rnacentral:rRNA from 1 species
UACGAAGGGGGCUAGCGUUGUUCGGAAUUACUGGGCGUAAAGGGCGCGUAGGCGGUCUUCUAAGUCUUGUGUGAAAUCCCUCGGCUCAACUGAGGAACUGCACGGGAUACUGGAAGACUUGAGUUCGGGAGAGGGAAGCGGAAUUCCGGGUGUAGCGGUGAAAUGCGUAGAUAUCCGGAGGAACACCGGUGGCGAAGGCGGCUUCCUGGACCGAUCACUGACGCUGAGGCGCGAAAGCUAGGGGAGCAAACGGG